GUUUGCUUGGUGGGCACGCGUUGGAACUAAUUACAGGCAAUUAAAUACGUAACCAAUCAGCAUUUGCUGAAAAACCCGCCGCUUCCUGGGUUGCUACGAGCAAUGCAGUGGUCAUGUAACCCGAUUAAUGUGCCAAUGGUCCUUGAAACGCGGUCCCUUUAAGGCUUUUAGUCCUGUGGGUUGAGACGUAUUACGAGUCGUGUUACUUUUCUCAGUGCGGGAUCCCGUCAAGGCUCCCACUCGGUCAGCUUUACAGUUUGGCAGGGUCUCAGCGAUGGCUGUGACUGUUGUAAAGGCCGAAGAAGCUAUUAUAUGACUGUGAGGAACAUGGCUGUGAGUGGCACAUUAUCGGGAGCUGGGUGCUUCAGAAGUGUGCUUUGUCUUAUCACACAACGGGUGCCACUUUUAGGGCUGUCUAUUGCUGUCACGUUUGCCAUGCUGCUACUUGCUGUACACUUCGAGUGAACUUGAUUUGGGCUGGGUUUCCUUUGUAUAAUUUGUCACUUACAAGC